rnacentral:snoRNA from 1 species
ACUGCAUGCUUUAAAACAAGAUGGCACUUUGGUUUUAAAACAAUGAUACCGCCUGCAUAUCCCUACGACUUCUCAAAGUCCUGUGGACGAUGACUGAGGAGACAAACCAUGCAGGAAACAGUC